UUGUAUGUGUAAUUUGUAAACCCUUUUCUUUAAAAGAAAAAGAUUGCAUUUUUAGUUUAUCUUAGUUGCUAGUUGCUUAGAUUAAUUGCUACUUGUUGUUUAGAUCAUUUGAUAUUUGUUGUCUAGAAUCAGAUUAGUAUCAUAGUAAAUUUCAUAUUGAUACUGGAGGAGAAUGCAAUUCAGAGUUUGCAACAAAAUCGAGCGAACUUAUCAAGAGGUGGGAUUUUCUUGUUUAUUUUGUGAUUGGUUUUUGAUUGAUGAGUCUGAGUUUCUCACCGCAAACUCAAUUUGUUGUAGAGAAUAAGAGAGUGAUAAGAUAUGUGUAUAAAUGGUACUUGUUCCCGUGUGACGUUGCCGGAUUUUAUGUUCAUUUUUCUUGGUUAUAUGCUACUGAAACUUCUUGAUUCCAUUUCACUACCAAUUGAAUUUAGCGCACUUUCUUUUACGCAGACUUACUGAGUAUGAUAGAUCUUAAUAUUUGCUUAUAAAGUUGUCUUGUUUUUGUUGUUCAAAGCCAAGCAUAAGAUCGCUGUACUGCGAAAAUCUCUGUAAAGAUCUCACUAAAGCAUUCAGUCAAGCCACCGGCAGUUCGGAAGGAUACUAAUGUAACAAUGCUCUUGUGAUUUACAAAAUCGCGCUCCAGGAGAACCUUUUAUACCAGAGUCAUAAGCAGGAUGAAAUGGAGAGGAUAUUGAGAUCAAUGCAGGAGCACCAGGAAUGUAAAUGUACUCGAAGGAUGAUCUGUUAAAGAAGAAUUUCGGGGCCGAAAAUGGUGAUGAAGAUCUAAGAUUUCCCUUCGAAUUUGGGUAAAGCGUUGAGAGAAAAAGAAAAUGCAAAACAAGAUUGGAAGAAGAAGAUUACAAAGAAAAUUUCAGACUCUGGUACAACAUCAAAGGCCCACGCCAACUAGGCAACAUGCCGAUGACAGCAAUGGUGGAGAAAAAGAGAAGCAACAAGUUCCAAAAAAGUAAUCAAGACAGAACUUUAAGACACUACACAGCUGUUCAUUUCUAUAGAGCAUAAUAGCCUCUUUUCUUUUUAGUUCUACAUAAACUUUUCCUGGUAUUGAGCAGAAAAUAGAAUCAUGAGUAAAGUUCCAUCCUUCAAAUUGGAUAACUGUGUCAGUAGUCUUUUGGUUCAAAGCUCUGGUUAGCCUCCAAUGCAUUGCAGGAUCAUGAAUGAUCAAUCAAUCCAAAGAAAAAAACAAGGGUGUUCUCAAUUUCUGGCAAUAUACUUGUCCAUUUCUGAACAAGUAUAACUACAGAAUUACAGUGUUUUGGGAAUUAUCUUAUAAGUGAAUACAAGAAACUGCAACGUACUGCAUUUUAUCUUGUUCGUCUGGGAUCGAAUUCUGAGACCUGGUGAUUACUCUGGGUAGACCGUUUCUUCUGCAAGAAAACUGAAUUAGAUGACUUCAUACAUAUGUUUCUGCAGUUUAGGUACAAGAAACACAAAUGGGUUAUUUCUCCUAAAUCGAAAGACGAACUUUAUCUAUCUGCAUUGUUGGAGAAAUCACAAAGGUCACUAUGAGUACUGCUCAAAUUGUUUUGAUAUCAAUUCUUAUAACUUAUUAUUACGUCACCAUGGCAAUAUUUGUUUCUUUGCAACCAUUUCACAUGCAUUGUUGGUCCCUUAUCUCCAUUAGACUACUUUGUGACUAAUGUAUGCGUCAACUGGAAUUCUCCCGUCUACUAAUGUAGUCUCAUUAUACCAGCAUUACUACGAAUUUGAGCCAAGUGUUUUGAUGU